rnacentral:rRNA from 1 species
GUCCACGCCGUAAACGAUGAUUGCUAGUUGUCGGGUUGUUUACAACUCGGUGACGCAGCUAACGCAUUAAGCAAUCCGCCUGGGAGUACGGUCGCAAGAUUAAACUCAAAGGAAUUGACGGGGCCCGCACAAGCGGUGGAGCAUGUGGUUUAAUUCGAAGCAACGCGCAGAACCUUACCACCUUUUGACAUGCCUGGACCGCCAGAGAGAUCUGGCUUUCUCUUCGGAGACUAGGACACAGGUGCUGCAUGGCUGUCGU